rnacentral:misc_RNA from 1 species
GAUGAAGGACGCAGCGAAAUGCGAUACGUAGUGUGAAUUGCAGAAUUCAGUGAAUCAUCGAAUCUUUGAACGCACAUUGCACCUCUCGGUAUUCCGGGAGGUAUGCCUGUUCGAGCGUCAUUUGUACCCUCAAGCUCUGCUUGGUGUUGGGUGUUUGUUCCGCCUCUGUGUGUGAACUCGCCUCAAAACAAUUGGCAGCCGGCGUACUUGUUUCGGAGCGCAGCACAUUUUGCGAUCCAGAUCAACGUACAGCGGCAUCCAAGAAGCCUUAUUUAACGCUCUUGACCUCGGAUCAGGUAGGGAUACCCGCUGAACUUAAGCAUAUCAAUAAGCGGAGGA